GGGGAUGUAGCUCAGUUGGGAGAGCGCUUGAAUGGCAUUCAAGAGGUCGAGGGUUCAAGUCCCUUCAUCUCCACCA
rnacentral:tRNA from 2 species